GAUGAAGAACGCAGCAAAAUGCGAUAAGUAAUGUGAAUUGCAGAAUUCAGUGAAUCAUCGAAUCUUUGAACGCACAUUGCGCCCCUUGGUAUUCCGAGGGGCAUGCCUAUUCGAGCGUCAUUAUCACCCCUCAAGCCUAGCUUGGUGUUGAGGCCUGCUGUCAAGGCAGCCUCUAAAAUCAGUGGCAGUGCUGUCAGGCUCUAAGCGUAGUAAAUCUAAUCGCUAUAGACACCUGGUGGACACUCGCCAGAACCCCCCCAUUUUUUAAUGAUUGACCUCGGAUUAGGUAGGGAUACCCGCUGAACUUAAGCAUAUCAAUAAGCGGAGGA
rnacentral:misc_RNA from 1 species